rnacentral:rRNA from 1 species
GACGAACGCUGGCGGCGUGCUUAACACAUGCAAGUCGAACGGAGAGGCCUGCUUUCCCUUGUGGAUUGCGGGUACUCGAGUGGCGAACGGGUGAGUAACACGUGAGUGAUCUGCCCCCAACUUGGGUAUAAGCCUGGGAAACUGGGUCUAAUUCCCGAUAGGACUGCAGGGUGGUGCCUGUGGUGGAAAACGAUUUUCUAGUGGUUGGGGAUGAGCUCGCGGCCUAUCAGCUUGUUGGUGGGGUAAUGGCCUACCAAGGCGGCGACGGGUAGCCGGCCUGGGAGGGUGGACGGCCACAUUGGGACUGAGAUACGGCCCAGACUCCUACGGGGGGCAGCAGUGGGGAAUAUUGCACAAUGGGCGGAAGCCUGAUGCAGCGACGCCGGGUGGGGGAUGACGGCCUGCGGGUUGUAAACUCCUUUCGACCGCGAGGAAGCCACCUGGUUGGAAGGGUGGUGACGGUAGUGGUAGAAGAAGCACCGGCUAACUACGUG